UACGUAGGGGCCGAGCGUUGUCCGGAGUUACUGGGCGUAAAGCGCGCGCAGGCGGCUGUUCAAGCCUGACGUGAAAGCCCCCGGCUCAACCGGGGAGGGUCGUCGGGGACUGGGCAGCUUGAGGUCGGCAGGGGCAGAGGGAAUUUCCGGUGGAGCGGUGAAAUGCGUAGAGAUCGGAAAGAACACCAACGGCGAAAGCACUCUGCUGGGCCGACACUGACACUGAGAGACGAAAGCUAGGGGAGCGAAUGGG
rnacentral:rRNA from 1 species